CCAUGCCCACAUUCCACGGAAAGGUAAAUGAAGAAGUCUAAUUAUGUCUCUUUGUAGCGCAUUGCCCUUUAAAAUAACCUUCCAUGCCUGACUAGUUAAGCUCAGUGGUGAUAAGAUAUUGGAAGCAAUAAAUAAAAUGACGUCCAGGGCUCAGAACGUUAACAGUCUCCCCCACCCCCAAGAAAUUAUUGCCCAAAAUGGCGCCUAAAUCACAAAACGUGGUCCUGCAGUGCCCCCUGGUGCCUCUUCUGUGGAACUGUAAAACGGCCCACUGCUGUAAGAAAAUGAUAUAUAAAACCAGUCAAUGAAAUGAGAAUGAAGAUUGUAGUCUGGGACCUUCAUCAUGGACCAGAACCUCCAAAACUCUUCAUUUGCAGGUUAUGUUCAAAUCCCUUCAAGGAAUGAGACCUAUUUCAACAGGAUUUUUCUACAGCUCCUAGAUAAAUCUCAUCUCUAAUCCAGAUGCAUGGCAAUGUCCUGUGUGAAGGAAAGGAAGCCCCCCAUGCCACCCGAUGACAUCCAUAUAAAUCACAGGUUUUAUUCCUCCGUUGUGAGGGGGCACUGCAUAUUGCAGCAACGUUGCAUACUCUCAUUGGCCAAUGCUUCAUUACUUGGUGGAAAAU